rnacentral:rRNA from 1 species
GAUGAACGCUGGCGGCGUGCUUAACACAUGCAAGUCAAGGGGCCCAGCAAUGGGCAACCGGCGAACGGGUGCGUAACACGUGAGCAACCUACCGAAUUGUGGGGAUAGCCGGCCCAACGGCCGGGUAAUACCGCAUACGAUCGAGACCAGGCAUUUGGACUCGAUGAAAUCUACGGAGCAAUUCGAGGGGCUCGCGGCCUAUCAGCUAGUUGGUGAGGUAACGGCUCACCAAGGCGACGACGGGUAGCUGGUCUGAGAGGAUGGCCAGCCACAUUGGGACUGAGAUACGGCCCAGACUCCUACGAGAGGCAGCAGUGGGGAAUCUUGCGCAAUGGCCUAACGGCUGACGCAGCGACGCCGCGUGAGGGAUGACGCUCUUCGGAGUGUAAACCUC